rnacentral:rRNA from 1 species
GACGAACGCUGGCGGCGUGCCUAAUACAUGCAAGUUGAGCGAUGAAGAUUGGUGCUUGCACCAAUUUGAAGAGCAGCGAACGGGUGAGUAACGCGUGGGGAAUCUGCCUUUGAGCGGGGGACAACAUUUGGAAACGAAUGCUAAUACCGCAUAACAACUUUAAACAUAAGUUUUAAGUUUGAAAGAUGCAAUUGCAUCACUCAAAGAUGAUCCCGCGUUGUAUUAGCUAGAUGGUGAGGUAAAGGCUCACCAAGGCGAUGAUACAUAGCCGACCUGAGAGGGUGAUCGGCCACAUUGGGACUGAGACACGGCCCAAACUCCUACGGGAGGCAGCAGUAGGGAAUCUUCGGCAAUGGACGAAAGUCUGACCGAGCAACGCCGCGUGAGUGAAGAAGGUUUUCGGAUCGUAAAACUCUGUUGGUAGAGAAGAACGUUGGUGAGAGUGGAAAGCUCAUCAAGUGACGGUAACUACCCAGAAAGGGACGGCUAACUACGUG